UUUACUUCACUCUACACAUGUUAGCUAAAUCGUAGAAACGGUGGACCGGAACCCGGUGGUGGUGAUAAUCGGAGAGACCGGUUCAGGAAAGAGCACCCAGCUCUCUCAGAUUCUGCACCGCAGAGGCUAAACCAAGUCUGGAAUCAUCGGCGUCACUCAGCCUCGUCGAGUCACUGCAGUUUCAGUCGCCAGGUUGCUUUAAAGAUCAUCUCUAGCGCAUGGUCUGGAGUUGAGGAAACCACCGAAUGGGGUGUUAUAGCUAUAUAGGUGAAAAACUACACACGAAAUGCAAUAUGUUAAUCCCAUUAACUAAUAUGCAACAUGCCACUCGUGCAACAUGUAUGCUAGGGUAAAGUCACUAAUUCUGAGUGGUAUUUGCUUGAAUGAGCCCAUCUCUAAUCUGUGAAGCAUUGUCUUUCACAGCUCCCGGUUUGUGUGUGAUGACAAUGCACCAACUUCUUUCAUUGUGUCUAAAUAUUGAGUCACCAGAACCACGUCCAUGACAUCCUUUGACGCAGUCCCAGGUACAUUCACAGAGAAAACAAGCACACUGUCCCUCAGCAACUUCAAUGGUCUGAUGCUGCCAUGCUUUCCAUGCUCAGUCUCCCCUGGCAUGUUUUAUUUUCAGGAUUUUUUCUGCUUCAGCCUUCUCGUUAGCCACCACCUUCAUUCUUGCAGCUGUUUAAUCACAUGUAAAAGGUCAAUGACUGGUUAAUUAGUAUUCAAGGAAAAAGAAGUCAAGCUUACUCA